GACGAACGCUGGAGGCGUGCUUAACACAUGCAAGUCGAACGAUGAAAUGGAGCUUGCUCCAUGGAUUAGUGGCGAACGGGUGAGUAACACGUGAAUAACCUGCCCUUAAUUUUGGAAUAACCCAGGGAAACCUGGGCUAAUACCGGAUAAGUAAACCUGUGGCAUCACAUGGUUUUGGAAAGUUUUUCGAUUAAGGAUGGAUUCGCGGCCUAUUAGCUUGUUGGUGAGGUAAUGGCUCACCAAGGCGACGACGGGUAGCCGGCCUGAGAGGGUGAACGGCCACACUGGGACUGAGACACGGCCCAGACUCCUACGGGAGGCAGCAGUGGGGAAUAUUGCGCAAUGGACGAAAGUCUGACGCAGCGACGCCUCGUGAGGGACGAAGGUCUUCGGAUUGUAAACCUCUUUCAGCAGGGACGAAGCGAAAGUGACGGUACCUGCAGAAGAAGCACCGGCUAACUAUGUGUCAGCCGCCGCAGUAA
rnacentral:rRNA from 1 species